CGUUGUCCUCCUCCGCUGCCCUCUCAAGCUAGCCCUCGCCGCCUCCCCCAUCUCUUAGUCCGAGGCCCUCCCGGAAUCCCUCACCGAUGAUGAGAAAGUCUGCACACUCAAAGACCACCUCACCUCUGAUCCAGACGACAUCAAGGAGCUCCGAUCGCUACUUGAGCUCAAAGUGAAGACCAAUCUACUCCCCGACGCUAUCACCAUCAUCGACCGCCUCAUUGCUCUGGAACCUGACGACAAGGACCUCCCCCUCAUCGCAAAAAAGCUACAGGUGUAGUAGCCUCCCCACGGAAUGUGACUCCAGAGAAGUCAAAAGGCCAGGGAAUGUUAUGACCAAACAAGAAAACUGUUGAAGGAUGGUUCAAUAAGUUGCUGUAAAUGCUAUUACCUGAUAUGGAAAUCAAUCUCCUUGCUCAAGUCAUGAGCCUUGUUCAAUAACAGCUCAAUCUCCUGCCUUCCAGACAAAUUAGCCAGGGCAGAGCUGCUGAAAGAAAUGGUGGUGAUGAGUCAAGAGUCAUGUGCAUGGGCACCUACAAGGGAUACUAGAACUGCAAAACUACAUUAAUAAGCAUAGCAAAUAUGAUUUAUGUGUGGGUAAGUUAAACUGAAUACAUUGAUUAUUGGCGUUUCAUUAAACUGACUUCAGUGUACAAAGAUGCAGAUCCUUGAUUGAUGAUGCUGAUUUGGUAAACUGAAUCCAGUUUUAAAAGAUAGAAAAUGAAUGUGCUUAUUAUUCUUUAUUCCUCUGCAACUGAGCAUGGAACUUAAGAUGAUUGUAGAGUACAUUAUCGCAGAUGGAUAGGUUUGAGUAUUUGUUGCAAGUAAGCGAGCGUGGAAAAGCUAGAAAUGUUAAACAAGUUGCGUAUCCACUGUUGCAGUCACACUCAUGAUCAAAAGCCCCUGUUUUUAUGCAGUCACCUCCUCUAGAGAGUAGGAUGAUUGGGAUGAUGAUGAUGAUGUGAAUGAUGACUUCUUAUCUCAGUUGAAGAAUGAGCUUGAUAGCAACUUUGAGAAGAAAUAGACUGGAGUAAUGAAGCCUGAGAACUGAUGAAUCAAUUGCCUGUCUUCUUAGCAAUUCUCUCUUAAAGAUCAGUUGUUGUGCCAAACUAAGCAGUUCUUUUUAUGUAAACCAGAAUCUAUAACAUGUUUUAGGUUUCUAAUCAAGAGAUUCCAAACCCUUGGGCUAUGGUUUAAUAUAGCUUAUUUAUCAAAGA